rnacentral:rRNA from 1 species
GAUGAACGCUGGCGGCGUGCUUAACACAUGCAAGUCGAGCGGAAAGAUUAGUAGCUUGCUCCUUUGACGAUCGCGGCGCACGGGUGUGUAACACGUGUAUAACCCCCCUCUACGCCUGGGAUAACUUCGGGAAACCGGAGAUAAUACCGGAUAAUAUAUUGAACCGCACGAUUUCAUAGUGAUAGACGGUUUUGCUGGAACUUGCAGACUGAUCCGCGCUGCAUUGGGUGGUUGGUAGGGUAACGGCUUACCAAGGCAACGAAGCAUAGCCGACCGUAGCGAGUGAUCGGCCACACGGGAACGGAGACAGGGUCCAUACGCCUAGGGGAGGCACCAGUAGGGAAUCUUCCGCAAUGGGGGAAAGCCUGACGGAGCAAGCCCACGGGAGUGAUAAAGGUCUUGGGUUGGUAAUACUCGGUUAUGGGGUAAAAACUAAUGUGGAUGGAGCAAAGCACGUCAUGACGGUACCUGGAGAGGAAGCCACGGCUAACUACGUG